rnacentral:rRNA from 1 species
GGCGGGCUGGAAUCUCUCGGGGUUACAGCCUUGCUGAAUUAUUCACCCUUGUCUUUUGCGUACUUCUUGUUUCCUUGGUGGGUUCGCCCACCACGGACAAACAUAAACCUUUUGUAAUUGCAAUCAGCGUCAGUAACAAAUUAAUAAUUACAACUUUCAACAACGGAUCUCUUGGUUCUGGCAUCGAUGAAGAACGCAGCGAAAUGCGAUAAGUAGUGUGAAUUGCAGAAUUCAGUGAAUCAUCGAAUCUUUGAACGCACAUUGCGCCCUUUGGUAUUCCAAAGGGCAUGCCUGUUCGAGCGUCAUUUGUACCCUCAAGCUUUGCUUGGUGUUGGGCGUCUUGUCUCUAGCUUUGCUGGAGACUCGCCUUAAAGUAAUUGGCAGCCGGCCUUUCGGAGCGCAGCACAAGUCGCACUCUCUAUCAGCCAAGGUCUAGCAUCCAUUAAGCCUUUUUUCAACUUUUGACCUCGGAUCAGGUAGGGAUACCCGCUGAACUU